CUGGCUCUCGCCCAGUGGCGUUAAUAUCUUGCCGGGGCCUCCAUUAUGUUGUAUCCAGGCAAGUCAGAGAAAACGCCACACUUUGGGAUGAAUUAAGAGUCCUUUAUUAG
rnacentral:pre_miRNA from 8 species